AGUUAUUUGUAUUUAUGUAGAAUAACCUUGUUUGGUCUGUACUUUAACAUUUUGUUAAGAUUUUAAUUGUGAUGUGUAUGCGCUUUGGCUGUAAUGACUGGACUUAGAUUUGAGUAAGCUGUGAAUCUCUUUGGUUCUGUCUGUUAACUAGUUUCAAAUAAUUAGUUGUGCAUGGAGAUCUUGGUGCAUUUUUCCCAUACUGUAUGGAUAA